AAAAAAAAUCAGAAAACACAGAAUCCCUAAAGUCUAAGCACUCACUCUCGUCUCUCGCAUCUCUUCACCUCCGGCUCUGGUCUAGCAGAUUCGAUGUAUUUCUACGGCCGACAACAAGAUCGCCGUCGUGAACGACAACAAGUACCAGUUCUAUUACAAAAGGUGCAAGUUGUGUUUAAAAAGGCGACGCCUAGGCUCGAGGCGAGGUAAGGUUAAAGGUUCAUCUCCUCUAAUAGAUGAGGCUAGGCUCUGGCCCAAAGGCUGUCGCUCCGUGACGCCGUGGUAUCAAACGCACCUCUCGUCGCUUUGCGCCUAUGAAAAUAAAAGUUGCGCCUCAGAUACCAAAGGCUCGGAGUGAAGUGCGCCUAGGCUCAGGGCUCAAACCAGCCCUUCAUCGCCUUACGUCGCCUCGCGCCAUUUAAAACACAGUGCAGCAUAGAAGGCUUCCUCCUCGAGCAAGAUUAUGGAAGAAGAUGAUUAUUUCAAUGGUCUCAGCCAAACUGCCUCAUCUGGUGUUAUACUCUCUCGAGUUGUGCUGAACAAAGAAUAUCUCAAGGUACUCAUUUGUUUGAUUUUCAAUUACUGCAGUUUGGUUAAUCGUUUGUUUCAUUUUGAAUUGGUGCAGUUUUUGUUUAUACUUUGUUUCAUUUGAAUUGGUGCAGUUUAGUUUAUAAUUUGUUUGAUUUUGAAUUGGUGCAGUAUGUUUUAUAAGUUUUUUUGAUUUUGAAUUAAUUCUCAUAUGUUUUGGUGAGUUCAGUUUGCUAUAUUCAUCUGAUAUUGUGUUUGAUUAUGAACGUUGCUUGACUCUUAUUUCUUUUGUUUCUUUCACUGUGUGGUAAGUCUUAAAACGGGUAUAUCUAUGGACUAGGCAGUGUUCAACACAAGGAUAUCAAUCUGUUAAGAGAAACUAAGCAUUUCUACGGCACUGCUCCUCGUCACGGUUAUCCGGUUCAAGCUCGUCCUGCUGUUAACCCGACAGCCCCUCCAACAAGAACACAACAAAGCAAAGUAGAUGGUUGAGGUGCAUCAGAAGAAAUAUAAUGUAGUAAUUAUGUUAUUUUGUGUGAAUGUGCAUUCAUUUAGCCUUUUGGUAAGCUACAAGACUAAUUAGCAAAUGUAAUCUUCUUAUUAGGAUUUUAUAUUAAUUAUUCAGGUUUAAUUAAUGUUAUUAAUCACGAUUUCAUGCAA